rnacentral:rRNA from 1 species
AUUGAACGCUGGCGGCAGGCCUAACACAUGCAAGUCGAACGAGUGGCGGACGGGUGAGUAAUGUAUGGGAAACUGCCUGAUGGAGGGGGAUAACUCCUGGAAACGGUAGCUAAUACCGCAUAACAUCAGCUGGGCCAAUAUGGGAUUAGCUAGGUGGUGGGGUAACGGCUCACCAAGGCGACGAUCCCUAGCUGGUCUGAGAGGAUGACCAGCCACACUGGAACUGAGACACGGUCCAGACUCCUACGGGAGGCAGCAGUGGGGAAUAUUGCACAAUGGGCGCAAGCCUGAUGCAGCCAUGCCGCGUGUAUGAAGAAGGCCUGCGGGUUGUAAAGUACUUUCAGCGGGGAGGCGUUACCCGCAGAAGAAGCACCGGCUAACUCCGUGCCGGCAGCCGCGGUAAUUC